CCUACGGGAGGCAGCAGUGAGGAAUAUUGGUCAAUGGUCGGGAGACUGAACCAGCCAAGCCGCGUGAGGGAGGAAGGUACAGAGUAUCGUAAACCUCUUUUGUCAGGGAACAAAGGCGGGGACGUGUCCCCGGAUGAGUGUACCUGAAGAAAAAGCAUCGGCUAACUCCGUGCCAGCAACCGCGGUAAUACGGAGGAUGCGAGCGUUAUCCGGAUUUAUUGGGUUUAAAGGGUGCGUAGGUGGUUAAUUAAGUCAGCGGUGAAAGUUUGUGGCUCAACCAUAAAAUUGCCGUCGAAACUGGUUGA
rnacentral:rRNA from 1 species